rnacentral:rRNA from 1 species
CCUACGGGAGGCAGCAGUGAGGAAUAUUGGUCAAUGGACGAGAGUCUGAACCAGCCAAGUAGCGUGAAGGAUGACUGCCCUAUGGGUUGUAAACUUCUUUUAUAUGGGAAUAAAAUGUUCCCCGUGUGGGAUUUUGUAUGUACCAUAUGAAUAAGGAUCGGCUAACUCCGGGCCAGCAGCCGCGGUAAUCCGGGGGAGCCGAGCGUUAUCCGGAUUUAUUGGGUUUAAAGGGAGCGUAGGUGGAUUGUUAAGUCGGUUUUGAAAGUUUGCGGCUCAACGGGAAAAUUGCAGUUGAUACUGGCAGUCUUGAGUACAGUAGAGGUGGGCGGAAUGUGUGGUGUAGCGGUGAAAUGCUUAGAUAUCACGAAGAACUCCGAUUGCGAAGGCAGCUCACUGGACUGCAACUGACACUGAGGCUCGAAAGUGUGGGUAUCAAACAGGAUUAGAUACCCUUGUAGUC